UACGGAGGAUGCGAGCGUUAUCCGGAUUUAUUGGGUUUAAAGGGUGCGUAGGCGGACUGUCAAGUCAGCGGUAAAAUACGGGGGCUCAACCUCCGCCCGCCGUUGAAACUGGCAGUCUUGAGUACAGUAGAGGUGGGCGGAAUUCGUGGUGUAGCGGUGAAAUGCUUAGAUAUCACGAAGAACUCCGAUUGCGAAGGCAGCAUGCCGGCUCCACACUGACGCUGAGGCACGAAAGCGUGGGUAUCGAACAGG
rnacentral:rRNA from 1 species